rnacentral:rRNA from 1 species
GAUGAACGCUGACAGAAUGCUUAACACAUGCAAGUCCACUUGAACUUCGGUUUGGGUGGCGGACGGGUGAGUAACGCGUAAAGAACUUGCCUCACAGAUAGGGACAACAUUUGGAAACGAAUGCUAAUACCUGAUAUUAUGAUUUUAGGGCAUCCUAGGAUUAUGAAAGCUAUAUGCGCUGUGAGAGAGCUUUGCGUCCCAUUAGCUAGUUGGAGAGGUAACGGCUCACCAAGGCGAUGAUGGGUAGCCGGCCUGAGAGGGUGAUCGGCCACAAGGGGACUGAGACACGGCCCUUACUCCUACGGGAGGCAGCAGUGGGGAAUAUUGGACAAUGGACCAAGAGUCUGAUCCAGCAAUUCUGUGUGAACGAUGAAGUUUUUCGGAAUGUAAAGUGCUUUCAGUUGGGAAGAAAAAAAUGACGGUACCAACAGAAGAAGUGACGGCUAAAUACGUG